UGUUAGUGAGUAACGUAUGUGUACAUGAACAUGUGUGACUAUACAUUUAUCAUAUAACUACCUAUGAAAAUAGAAACAUAUACACAUACAAAU
rnacentral:miRNA from 1 species